rnacentral:tRNA from 1 species
CGAGGUGUGGCUCAGCUUGGUAGAGCGCCUGGUUUGGGACCAGGAUGUCGCAGGUUCAAAUCCUGUCACCUCGA